AUAUCAAUAAGCGGAGGAAAAGAAACCAACAGGGAUUGCCCUAGUAACGGCGAGUGAAGCGGCAACAGCUCAAAUUUGAAAUCUGGCACCAGCCCGAGUUGUAAUUUGCAGAGGAAGCUUCUGGCACGGCGACUUCCGAGUCCCCUGGAAUGGGGCGCCAUAGAGGGUGAGAGCCCCGUAUGGUCGACCGCCUAGCCUGUGUGAAGCUCCUUCGACGAGUCGAGUAGUUUGGGAAUGCUGCUCUAAAUGGGAGGUAAAUUCCUUCUAAAGCUAAAUACCGGCCAGAGACCGAUAGCGCACAAGUAGAGUGAUCGAAAGAUGAAAAGCACUUUGGAAAGAGGGUUAAACAGCACGUGAAAUUGUUGAAAGGGAAGCGCUCGUGACCAGACUUGCGCCUGGCGGAUCAUCCGGUGUUCUCACCGGUGCACUCCGCCAGGCUCAGGCCAGCAUCGGUCUCGGUGGGGGGGAUAAAGGUCCCGGGAACGUAGCUCCUCCGGGAGUGUUACAGCCCGGGGCGUAAUGCCCCCGCCGGGACCGAGGACUGCGCAUCUGCAAGGAUGCUGGCGUAAUGGUCAUCAGCGA
rnacentral:rRNA from 1 species